UUUUGCGCAAUGGACGAAAGUCUGACGCAGCAACGCCGCGUGAGGGAUGAAGGCCUUCGGGUUGUAAACUCUUUUGUCAGGGACGAUGAUGACGGUACCUGACGAAUAAGCCACGGCUAACUACGUGCCAGCAGCCGCGGUAAUACGUAGGUGGCAAGCGUUGUCCGGAUUUACUGGGCGUAAAGAGCGCGCAGGCGGUCGUUCAAGUCGCGUGUGAAAGCCCCCGGCUCAACUGGGGAGGGUCACGCGAUACUGGUCGACUCGAAGGCAGGAGAGGGUAGUGGAAUUCCCGGUGUAGUGGUGAAAUGCGUAGAUAUCGGGAGGAACACCAGUGGCGAAGGCGACUACCUGGCCUGUUUCUUGACGCUGAGGCGCGAAAGCUAGGGGAGCAAACGGGAUUAGAUACCCCGGUAGUCCUAGCCGUAAACGAUGGACACUAGGUGUUGGUGGUAUUUCAACCCCGCCAGUGCCGAAGCUAACGCAUUAAGUGUCCCGCCUGGGGAGUACGGCCGCAAGGCUA
rnacentral:rRNA from 1 species